rnacentral:tRNA from 2 species
GGGGGUGUAGCGCAGAGGUCGUCGCGCCUGCACGGCAUGGAGGAGGACGCCGGUUCGAAUCCGGUCGCCCCCG